UACGAAGGGGGCUAGCGUUGCUCGGAAUCACUGGGCGUAAAGGGUGCGUAGGCGGGUCUUUAAGUCAGGGGUGAAAUCCUGGAGCUCAACUCCAGAACUGCCUUUGAUACUGAGGACCUUGAGUUCGGGAGAGGUGAGUGGAACUGCGAGUGUAGAGGUGAAAUUCGUAGAUAUUCGCAAGAACACCAGUGGCGAAGGCGGCUCACUGGCCCGAUACUGACGCUGAGGCACGAAAGCGUGGGGAGCGAACAGG
rnacentral:rRNA from 1 species